rnacentral:rRNA from 1 species
AGUGAACGCUGGCGGUAGGCCUAACACAUGCAAGUCGAACGGCAGCACAGUAAGAGCUUGCUCUUACGGGUGGCGAGUGGCGGAUGGGUGAGGAAUACAUCGGAAUCUACUUUUUCGUGGGUGAUAACGUAGGGAAACUUACGCUAAUACCGCAUACGACCAACGGGUGAAAUCAUGGGAUCUUCGGACCUUGCCCGAUUCAAUGAGCCGAUGUCGGAUUAGCUAGUUGGCGGGGUAAAGGCCCACCAAGGCGACGAUCCGUAGCUGGUCUGAGAGGAUGAUCGGCCACACUGGAACUGAGACACGGUCCAGACUCCUACGGGAGGCAGCAGUGGGGAAUAUUGGACAAUGGGCGAAAGCCUGAUCCAGCCAUACCGCGUGGGUGAAGAAGGUCUUCGGAUUGUAAAGCCCUUUUAUUGGGAAAGAAAAGCAGCAGGUUAAUACCUCGCUGUUCUGACGGUACCCAAAGAAUAAGCACCGGCUAACUUCGUG